rnacentral:rRNA from 1 species
UACAUGGGGUGCAAACGUUGCUCGGAAUUAUUGGGCGUAAAGAGCUCGUAGGCGGUUUGUCGCGUCGACUGUGAAAACCCGAGGCUUAACCUCGGGCCUGCAGUCGAUACGGGCAGACUAGAGUUCGGUAGGGGAGACUGGAAUUCCUGGUGUAGCGGUGAAAUGCGCAGAUAUCAGGAGGAACACCGGUGGCGAAGGCGGGUCUCUGGGCCGAUACUGACGCUGAGGAGCGAAAGCGUGGGGAGCAAACAGG